GUAGUCAUCUCGAAACACAAAUUAAAAAUUAAAUUAACAACAAUAUAUGUAAUUUUAUACUUGCGACUGUCACAUCUAUUUAACUAUAUAAAUGAAAUUAAAGCUCUGAUAUAAUUUAUAUAUUACAAAUUCAGGCUCAUAUUUUAUAGAUUAAUUCCUAAAUAUCAGAUCUUUUUUUGCUGAAGAAAACCCGUAAUGACAAAGAAGGAUAGUUCAAACUCAUGUGGCUUGAAAAAACAAAUAUAGCCAUAAAUAUUGAACCAACAUGAAGACAUGUACAUCAGAAAGUUCAACUAGAUGGAGAACCCCAUGAGUGGAGCAAAUUUGAUCUGUACAAACUAGACGUGCUAAACUUGGAAGGGUCUGUUGUUACUGCGUCAUGUUUGGAUUACCUCACAGCUCUCACUUCAUUGAAGUCGCUAAACUGUCAAUAGAUCUCACCUUUUAGAUGAUGGAUGCGAGAAGUUUUUGGCCAAUGAAGUACAAGAUUAAAAAGAUACCAAGACAUCCCAUAAUGUUUGUUGUCAAUUUUAACAACAAUUUCCUAAAGGAAAAGAAUGUGAUCAGAUUCCAGGGGGGAGGAGUAUCUUCAGCAGACUGAUUAUGCAAGGAAACUGUACUGCAUAUAAACACCAGAGGCAAAAGCAUCUUCAGCUUCCAAAGACCUUUACUUGCUUCAAAUUCAUACCCUUAGGUCUUGUAGUUAGAGAACUUAUUGUAUUGUCUUUUUAUUCACUAUGUAAGAUUGUUUCUCGUGUUUUGUAGUUGUAGCAUGUAUAGACUUUUUGUAAUUGAUAAGAGUAUAGAUAAUUAUCAUCUA